AGGACGAACGCUGGCGGCGUGCCUAAUACAUGCAAGUCGAACGGUCUUUCUAUGGAAGCUUGCUUCCACUGAGAAGAUAGUGGCGAACGGGUGAGUAACACGUGGGUAACCUGCCCAUAAGAGGGGGGAUAACAUCCGGAAACGGGUGCUAAUACCGCAUAGUUUUCUUGAUCGCAUGAUUGAGAAAGGAAAGACGGCCUUUGUGCUGUCGCUUAUGGAUGGACCCGCGGCGUAUUAGUUAGUUGGUGAGGUAACGGCUCACCAAGACGAUGAUACGUAGCCGACCUGAGAGGGUGAUCGGCCACAUUGGGACUGAGACACGGCCCAAACUCCUACGGGAGGCAGCAGUAGGGAAUCUUCCGCAAUGGACGAAAGUCUGACGGAGCAACGCCGCGUGAGUGAAGAAAGGUUUUCGGAUCGUAAAACUCUGUUGUCAGAGAAGAACAAGUUGGAGAGUAACUGCUCCAGCCUUGACGGUAUCUGACCAGAAAGCCACGGCUAACUACGUGCCAGCCGCCGC
rnacentral:rRNA from 1 species